rnacentral:rRNA from 1 species
UACAGAGGGGGCAAGCGUUGUUCGGAAUCACUGGGCGUAAAGGGCGCGUAGGCGGCUUUGUAAGUCGGGGGUGAAAGCCUGUGGCUCAACCACAGAAUUGCCUUCGAUACUGCAUGGCUUGAGACCGGAAGAGGUAAGUGGAACUGCGAGUGUAGAGGUGAAAUUCGUAGAUAUUCGGAGGAACACCAGUGGCGAAGGCGGCUCACUGGCUCGAUACUGACGCUGAGGUGCGAAAGCGUGGGGAGCAAACAGG